UACGGAGGGAGCUAGCGUUGUUCGGAAUUACUGGGCGUAAAGCGCGCGUAGGCGGCUUUGUAAGUUAGAGGUGAAAGCCCGGGGCUCAACCCCGGAACUGCCUUUAAGACUGCAUCGCUUGAAUCCAGGAGAGGUGAGUGGAAUUCCGAGUGUAGAGGUGAAAAUUCGUAGAUAUCUGGAGGAACACCGGUGGCGAAGGCGGCAUCCUGGACCGGUAUUGACGCUGAGGCG
rnacentral:rRNA from 1 species